GACGAACGCUGGCGGCGUGCUUAACACAUGCAAGUCGAACGGAAAGGCCCUGCUUUUGUGGUGUGCUCGAGUGGCGAACGGGUGAGUAACACGUGAGUGACCUGCCCUUGACUUUGGGAUAACUUCAGGAAACUGGGGCUAAUACCGGAUAGGAGCUCCUGCUGCAUGGUGGGGGUGGGAAAGUUUCGGCGGUUGGGGAUGGACUCGCGGCUUAUCAGCUUGUUGGUGGGGUAGUGGCUUACCAAGGCUUUGACGGGUAGCCGGCCUGAGAGGGUGACCGGCCACAUUGGGACUGAGAUACGGCCCAGACUCCUACGGGAGGCAGCAGUGGGAAAUAUUGCACAAUGGGCGGAAGCCUGAUGCAGCAACGCCGCGUGCGGGAUGACGGCCUUCGGGUUGUAAACCGCUUUCGCCUGUGACGAAGCGUGAGUGACGGUAAUGGGUAAAGAAGCACCGGCUAACUACGUG
rnacentral:rRNA from 1 species